rnacentral:rRNA from 1 species
AGUCGAACGAAGCGCCUGCGGCGGACCCCUCCGGGGGAAAGCCGCGGGGGACUGAGUGGCGGACGGGUGAGCAACGCGUGGGCAACCUGCCCCGUACCGGGGGACAACAGCCGGAAACGGCUGCUAAUACCGCAUAUUCCCGCGGGGCCGCAUGGCCCUGCGGGGAAAGCUCCGGCAGUACGGGAUGGGCCCGCGUCUGAUUAGCUUGUUGGCGGGGUAACGGCCCACCAAGGCUGCGAUCAGUAGCCGGCCUGAGAGGGCGGCCGGCCACAUUGGGACUGAGACACGGCCCAGACUCCUGCGGGAGGCAGCAGUGGGGGAUAUUGCACAAUGGGGGGAACCCUGAUGCAGCGACGCCGCGUGAACGAAGAAAUAUUUCGGUAUGUAAAGUUCUAUCAGCAGGGAAGAAAAUGACAGUACCUGACCAAGAAGCCCCGGCUAACUACGUGCCAGCAGCCGCGGUAAUACGUAGGGGGCGAGCGUUAUCCGGAUUCACUGGGCGUAAAGGGAGCGCAGGCGGCACGGCAAGUCCGGUGUGAAAGCCCGGGGCCCAACCCCGGGACUGCACUGGAAACUGCCGGGCUGGAGUGUCGGAGGGGCCGCCGGAACUCCUAGUGUAGCGGUGAAAGGGGUGGAUAUUUGGAGGAACACCGGUGGCGAAGGCGGCCUGCUGGACGACGACUGACGCUGAGGCUCGA